rnacentral:rRNA from 1 species
AUCUGCGGCCAAACCACCCUGAAUGGACCCGAUUUCCUCUGAUCUCGGAAGCUAAGCAGGAUUGGGCCUGGUUACUACUUGGAUGGGAGAUUGAUUCACUCCCCAGAUGCCUCCAACA